GAGUAGGCACCUCGUUUCGGCCUCGGUGAUUCAUCAGCACCAGUGGGGACCCACACGAACCUGCAGGUCUCUGUGCAGGGGAGUCAGCACAGCCGAGGAAACAGGAAAAAAAAAGUGAGACACCCCCCCGCCCCGAAGGGCUGACCUGGAGUGAACCCUGAGAGGUCCAUCAGAGUUUUCGCAAACAUUUAAAAGGUGGCCUUUGCACAGCCUUGAAGAUACAUUCCUCAAGAAUUACAGUCACAGAAAAGGGUUCUCCAGCCCGGGCUCCCAGGCAUCUCUGAAGUGUCUUAUCGCUAAAGAUGAAAAGAGCUUCAGAAAUAAUUUCUCUCUACAGUCAUUUGGAGAAGCCAAACGCAGGCCCGCUUGUAGCCAGGAAUGAUGAUUGUCUUAAUUUUACUACCUGGGCCGUAUUUUUGGCAAGCCACAGGAUCACCAGGUGCCCUGACCUAAUUCAACAUUCCCUAUUCAGGCUGGCCACAGGAGCACAGAGCAUUUUCUUGCAAAGUGGUGGGGAAUACAGAACACCCACAGGAUCUCCGCAAUCCAGAGCCAUCUCAUGUUGGAAGUGAGAAGUGACCCUGGAGCUCAGCCAACUCCACGUGUUCUGUAAUCGGGGAAACCGGCUGAGAGGGACGAAGUGACUCAUCUGAGGUCGCAAAGCGACUUGCUGACGGGCACCACUGUAGCACAAAUCUCGGCUUUCGGGCUCCGCAACUCUGCCAUCUCUUAGGACCAACGUAAGCUGGACCGAAUCCAAAGUGGCAGCUUCAAAAUGUCACCCCUGUCCAACAGAGGUGUGGAAUGAAUCCAGUCCUGUUCGGUUCCGUUGACCUUUCUCCCACUGAAUUGGAAGAUUUGGCUAAAUUAAUCCAAUCGGCCAGCCUCUGAAGUACUGAGACAGGACCUGGGUCAGACAUGCCCAUCCCAAAUCCCUGUUUAUUUCUUGAGGAAUCCAUCCUGACACAGGCUGAACACAAAUAAGAGAGACUGAUGUGUAGACAGACAUGAACACUAUGUUUGGCUUCCUAAGGAUUCGAAGGUCAUUCCUGUUAGGAUCGUUAACCCACCUCUUACUAACGAAUCCAAAACUCACACGUUCAUUCCUCAGAGAAAUAACCACGAAAUGAAAAGCCCUAGAAGCUUCCACCUGCUCCGAGUGAAAUUUGACUGUGCCUCUGUGAGGUAUCGCUUCCCUAAUUUUAAAAGCAGCCCCAAAACGAGCAAGGUGACGGGUCCAAAUGACAAACCCGCCCUCAGAGUCGGUUCUUUGGAUCUUCCUGUGCAGUUUGGUCCUUUAGGUGGAAAGCAGGCCUAAGAAAUUUUCUAAGAGCCCAAAACUCUCAUAAGCUCUAUUGUCCCAGAUUAUCCAGGCGCACAUGACAACAAUUAACGGCACUAGCUGGGUUUCGAUUGUUUCCUUUUUUCUUUUUCAUUUUCUUUUCUUUUCUUUUUUUUUUUUUUUUGAUGUUUUGCAUCUAAAGUAAGGUGUUUUUUUUUUCAUGUGCGCUUAACAGGUUUUAAUUUUAUAAAACAUUGUGCAACCAGAUACCUUGGGGAACAGUAAUUAAC
rnacentral:lncRNA from 1 species